GACGAACCGUGCGAACGUUGUUCGGAUUCACUGGGCUUAAAGGGCGCGUAGGCGGGCUCGCCAGUCUGUGGUGAAAGCCCCCGGCUCAACCGGGGAAGUGCCGUGGAUACUGCGAGCCUGGAGGAGGGUAGGGGCGUCUGGAACGCUGGGUGGAGCGGUGAAAUGCGUUGAUAUCCAGCGGAACUCCGGUGGCGAAGGCGAGGCGCUGGACCCUUUCUGACGCUGAUGCGCGAAAGCCAGGGGAGCAAAGCGGG
rnacentral:rRNA from 1 species